rnacentral:lncRNA from 1 species
UCAUGCCAAAAAAUAAAAAAUACACGAACAAAUAAAUAAAUAAAUAAUAAUAAAUAUUAAAUACAAAAUAAAAACUUUCUUCAACAAUAAGGCUUCGUUUGGAAUUACGUGGAGAUUGCGUUACGUGCGGUGAGAAAGUUCGUUGAAAAAUUAUCUGUUUGUUUCCGUACGUAAUACUGCGUUCCGCAUAUCGCGAUGAGUCGGUUAUGAUACAUUUUUUAAGGUCACAUCGGAGAACGUAGAAGUAUAUCUCUAUAUAUUUUUUCUUCAACUCUAUUUUAUUUAAUAGCGUUAGAUAGAUCUUAAUACCAAACUAAACCUAAGUAGGAAAUAAUGAUUUUUGAUUGAAGAGAAUAUCAGAAACAUUACUUGUUAAGAUAAGUUUUAACAUUUUUACUAUAAAUGUAACAACGUAUGAUACAAGGCAGUUGUAGACUUGCAUUGUAACCGUACGUGUUCCUUCCUCAAUGAGCAAACUACAAUACGUAAAAAAUUUCAGCAAAAUGUAACUUUUUAGUUCUAUUUGUGAUUUAAACUGGCCCUACCUACCCAAUUUUUUACGGGUCAACUCGAGGCCGAGCCGUGCCUGAGUUUUCAAUUUGUUCGAUUCGUUNUUACCCAACGUGGUGGUGGUUGGUAUAGCUUCAGCAGGCGAGACGGGUGCGUUCACACUCCCUAGUGAGAUUGGGUCAGAGAUUGCAUCUUGCUUAUAUCUACAUAUAGGUAGUGUUGGUUAGCGAUAGUAUAGUGGUAUGUAGCUGUAAAGUUUUUUCAGCUUCUUUUACUAUCCUUGAGUAUACUUUUUGUAGACUUAGUGGGUGAAUCGUCGAGGUCGGUAGCGGUAUCCACUGAGAACUACUUCUUUUUGCAGUAGUUCUCAUACCCAGUUGUUGAUCCCUUUUUGUAGAGCCUUCGUCAGCGGUUGCUGUUGUUGCUGAUUUGGAUCGUAGAAAGGGAGUCGCGAACAAAAUCCCUUCCAGUCUUGUUACUGUUCUAGAGGAGUACCAGCUGCACGUAGUUUUGAUUUUUGGUUCAUAUACAUACUGAUAUUAGAUACUCGUUUGAACAAGUGAUGUCUGUAUCUUGGAGACUAUGCAUGUAUAAUGAACCUGAUGUUUAUCUAUAUGUAUUUACAGUUCUAUUAGCAGCUCUAUACUACUAGUUGUAGUUUUGUAUGAUGACAUGUACAAGUACAACUAUCGCUUCGUAUACAGAGGAAAUUCUUUUGUAUACGACGGGUCUGUUGGCGUGCCCGGAGAAACAUGGUAAUCUGCGGCGUGACAGAAAUUUUGUAUUACUAUUUAAAAAAUUUGUAAUGCUGAUAAAUAUUUUAAUUUAACAUACUUAAUAUGUUUAAGAAAUUUUUAAAUUCCUAUAGUUUAGACAUUAAUUUUGUAUCACUUAUUUAAAAAAAUUUGAAUGUAGGUAAAAAAGUUAUAAAUUAAAUGUAUUUAAUAUGUUAAAAAAAAACUUAGGAUUGUUCUACUUAGACAUUAAUUUUGUAUCAUUAUUUAAAAAAAAUUUGUAAUGUUGGUAAAUAUUUAAAUUCGACAUAUUUAAUAUGUUUAAGAAAAUUUUAAAUUCCUAUAGUUUAGACAUUAAUUUUGUAUCAUUAUUUUAGAAAAAAUUGUAAUGUUGGUAAAUAUGUAAAUUUAACAUAUUUUAUAUGUUUAACAAAAUUAUAAAUUCAUCUUAGACAUUAAUUUUGUAUUACUAAUUUUAAGCAAUUGAAUGUGGGCAAAUAUUUAAACUCAACAUAUUUAAUAUGUUUAUAAAAAUUUAAUAAUUUUUCUAAUUCAGUAUUAAUUCUUUAUUACUAUUUAAAAAUUUAAUGUGGAUAAUUAAUUAGAAAUAUCGGGUAUAAUUCAAAUUUAUUCUUAGAAUAGAAUUGUAUGGAUAAAAUUAAUUGAAAUUUUAGUAGUAAAAAUUGAUCUUUUAAAAUAAUAAGAUCAUAUAUUGUAAUUUAAAAUAUAAGCUGAAAACAAAUAAAAUUUGAAGUUUAGAACCUAAAAAGUAAAUAGAAACCUCCAAUAAAUUUAAAUAGUGUAGUGCAAUUUAAAUUUACCAAUAAAUAGAUUUAGGCUAUAUAAUUUAAAUUUUAAACUUAUAACAAAUCUCUAGAAUUUUAUUAGAGUAAACAAAAUCAGAAAUGUAGAUAAAUUAAAUAAAUUUAUAUUGAACAAAUCUAGGCUAUUUGUAUAUUUUAUUAAUUUGAUCAGUCCAAUUAAUUUGAUUUCUUAAAUUGAUUUUGACUUUUAUCUUUAAAUUUUUUUAAUUUUUAGUUGAUUUUUAAAAUUUUAGUUUGUUACCUUUUGGUUUACGAUUAGCUUCUUAACUUUUAUUAUUCAUUUUAAUUAAAUUAGUAUCAAUGAUUUAAAACCAGAUUAAAACGAUUGAUUUGACUGAUCAUACUUUAAACUAUUCUAUGAAAUAUCCGAUUUCAAUCUAUUAAGCUGAAUAAGAUUAAGAACAAUCUGGAACCGUUAAAGAUAAUAAACAUUUCAAACAGAAUGGUAUUUUAACAGUUAGAGCUAAUAAAUAUUUUAAACAUAAUUUUAAAUAUAAAAAUUAAAAAUAUUAGGAUUCCUGUUUAGAAAAAAAAGGUUAGAAAUUUGAAUUCGAACCCGACUAACAAUUGCAAAACUUAUUUAUGAUCUUGACGGAUUUCAAAAACUCAUAUCUAAAUCCGAAACUGACCAAUUUUCCGAAAUCCAAAACCGAACCCAAACCCGAAGACCAGAACCCGAAACAAUUAUUUCUUUUUACCAUACUUCAAAAUAUUUUAUAUUAAAUUUAAAUUUUUAAAAUAUAAAUUCAAAUAUAAUAUUAAACUUUAUAUAUGAUUCGGGUCUGAUUCAAGAUGGAUAUUUAGACAAAAUUCAUAGUUGAUCUACAAAAUAAUCUCACAUUCUUGUUGUCAAAUAAUUUGAAACUUUUCUUAUAUGAAAUGCCAAAAUAUGAGAGGAAAGGUAGAGAGAAAAAAAAAGAAACAAACAGAGAAUAAAAAUUUCGAUAAUAUAGUAGAGAUAAAAUCACUAAAUUGCUUAUAUAUUAAAAGACAAGAAUAACCUUUUUCGAGGUAUCUGGUAACUGUACCUCUCCCAAAGUGACCUGCUAUUGCAGGUCACAAUUUUACAAAAAUUAAAUCUGAACCAUUGAAUGGGAGGGAAUGAACAGUAAUGAAAAAAAAAGUAUAGAAAUAUUAUUCUAAUAAUAUUAGUAUGAACAGCCAAACAGCAGUUUAAUUGGACUAAUAUACGCUGGAGCCGAGACGUGAAGUUACAUUUAUUACUAUUUUUCAUUUAUUACUAUUGUAGAUAGUAGGUUUAAAAAGUAACAUGUAACAUUUUAUCCAUAAAUUAUUUUAUAAAAAUGAAUUGGUAAAUGAGUUAUAAUAAAAACUCACUUUUUUAACUUUGCCCCAAAAUUUUUCAAAAUCACUGAAAGUAAAGAGCUUCUAAAACAUGAUGUGCGCUAGCUCUUAACUUUUACCUUUGAAUUUAUUUUUAAAAUUAAAAUUUAACUUAAAUUUGAAUUAGAAUCAUGAUGCUAAUUUUACAUUCUAAAUUUUAUUUAUAAAUUCAAAUUCAACAUAAAAAUUUUUAAUUUAAUUUGUAAAUUUAUAUUUAAAUUUAAAAUUUUAUUCAAAUUUAAAUUCUAAUUUUAAAAAUUUUAAUCAAAUUGUUUUAAUUAGCUACAAACUUCAAGCUGAGCUUGAACUUUAACCAAACUAUAAAUUCAAAUUAUUGAUUGAAAUUUGAAUUCAAAAUUUAAAUUUUUAACUUAAAAUUUGAAAAGAAUUUAAAUUUGCAUUUUGAUUUAAUUUCAAAAUUCAAAUUAUGAAUUCAAAUGUUCAAAAUUUAAUUAAUAUUUUAGUUUUUAAGAUGAAAGUUGAUUUAAAUUAUGAGUAUAUGUUGUUUGUUUAUAUUUUAAUUUCUUUAUGUAAAAUCAAACAAUCAAACCACUAAACUACAAUUUUUUACUUUUAACUUUAUGGUCAACUAAACAAUCAAACUUAAAAGUGACACCUAUAAAAAUGAUUUUUUUCAUUUCAGUCACUUUGAGGCAACCAAACAUGCCCUUAAUAGAAGAAAUGAAAGUGAUUUUUUCUUGUUAUUGUUUUUUUUUUUUUUCGAUUGGAAUAGAUGAAUCUCUGUUGUAUUUUUGGCAUUAACUAUUAAUCCCAAAAGAUCGAGUUGUUAGAAAUAUGCAAUCUAUUCACAUAAAGUGUACAGACACAAUGCCCAUGGAUCUCGAUUAUAACUCAGUUCAACCAUGCUCAUGCUAUUUCGAACAUAACUCGGCCCUACGCGGCCUCCUGUAUUUCUUUUUUCGAUUGGAAGAGAUGAAGUAUGUUGUUCAAUACUCUAUUGGAUUGUUAGCGUUAACUAUUAAUCCAAAGAGGUCGAAUUGUUAGAAAUACAUAAUCAAUUCACUUAAAGUAUAUAGAUACAACAUCCAUAGAUUUCAAUUAUAACUUGGCUCAAAAAGACUCACGCCACUUUAAACAUGACUCGGCCUAAUCUAGCCUUCUGCCUUUUUUUUUUUUUCUUUUUCAAUUGGAAGAGAUUAAAGUGUUUUGUCCAAUGCUCCGUUGGAUCAUUAACGGUCGCUAUUAAUCUCAAAAGCUCAAGCUAUUAGAUAUACGCAACUAAUUCACUUCGAACCUACAACCUCUUACUCUAAUACCACUUGUUGGAUCGUUGGCACAAUCAUUAAUCUAAAAGCUCGAGCUAUUAGAAAUAUAUAAGAACUAAUGUCUUAUUAUGAUGCGUAUUGCCUCGUCAGAAGCAAUCAAUUUAAAAGUAAAAACCCAAAAGUAAAAAAAUAUAAAAAACCAAAAAACACCCUACAUGAUUUACUACUAAGGGUGAAUCGCACCGUUGGUCUCAACCUUUACCUGAUAUUUUAUUUUGGACUACCUUUUAUUUUUAACAAAUAGAUUCUUAACGGUAUACUAUUGAAAUUUCUUUUUUAUAAGUGCGCCUACUGUGUAAGUCUAAUCUCGACAACUCAAUGUCUUUUCACGUGCUUACGAUUACCGCGAUCUUGCAUAUGAUACUUACGGUCUUCUUUGAAGUAGCCAAUUUUCUUGGCAUCUAGUCGGAACUGCUACGAGAUUUUUUUAGAAACUAGAAAAAAUCAAUACUGGCGCUUGAAAUUCACUAGAUCAUAACAGUAAUUUAUGUGCGUAGAUAAAAUUUUAUUGAGUUGAUGUGAUUUAUUUUCUCAUAAUUAAUAGAAAUUGAAUGAUUGAGACCAAAUUAAAAAUAGAAUUAUAAAAAAUAGGGAUUUAGCAGUAUAGAUAAAGGGGACCAAAGUUAGCAGCAUAGUUAAAGGGAACCAAAGUGAAAAAAAAAAAAAAAAAAAAAAAAAAAAAGUGGAAUAAAAAUUUAGGAGCAGUGGUACAAUUAAUUAAUCCUAGGUACCAGUACAUCAUGUCUAGAUCAAAAACAGAAGCAGACGAUUGCAACGUGACAGCAACGUCAGAAAGUAACACGUACCUCAUGUCUGGCCAGAUCUUUUCAAGCGUUCAAUCAUUGAUGCCACGAAAUUUGUACAACAACUCGUGCCAGUUCAUUGCACAUGCAACAAAAUUUUUAGGUAUGUUUGAGCAUUAUAAGUUAUUCCCCUAUAACUAGAUAUUUAAAAUUUUUAAAUUUGACUGCUAUUGAUACUGUAUUAUUAUGUUUGAUUUAAUAUAAUAAUAUAAUACUAUAUUACAAUAUAUAUAUAAAAUAUUAUUAUUAUUAUUAUAUUUGAUUUAUUUUAUAAAAUUCAGUUAUUCUGAAAAUAAAGUGCAGUUUAUUUCAAAAUUGUCUUCAGUCAUAUUUGGCCAAAGAAUUUUAUUGUUUACAAAUAAUAUUUCUUUUACUAAAAUUUAUUUUUAAAUAAUUUAAAAUUUGAAUUUAAAUUAAAAAUUUUGAGAUUUAAAUUUACAUCUGAACAAAAAUAUAAAAUUUAAUACUUUUAAUAUAAAAUAUAAACAUGAAAUGAACAGAAGAAAUUCCAGUUUAAUUUUCUUUCACGCCAGAAAAUAAGAAAUAAACAAACAAACAAAUAAAUAAUAAUAAAUAUUAAAUACAAAAUAAAAACUUUCUUCAACAAUAAGGCUUCGUUUGGAAUUACGUGGAGAUUGCGUUACGUGCGGUGAGAAAGUUCGUUGAAAAAUUAUCUGUUUGUUUCCGUACGUAAUACUGCGUUCCGCAUAUCGCGAUGAGUCGGUUAUGAUACAUUUUUUAAGGUCACAUCGGAGAACGUAGAAGUAUAUCUCUAUAUAUUUUUUCUUCAACUCUAUUUUAUUUAAUAGCGUUAGAUAGAUCUUAAUACCAAACUAAACCUAAGUAGGAAA